UACGUAGGGUGCGAGCGUUAAUCGGAAUUACUGGGCGUAAAGCGUGCGCAGGCGGUUAUGCAAGACAGAUGUGAAAUCCCCGGGCUCAACCUGGGAACUGCAUUUGUGACUGCAUAGCUAGAGUACGGUAGAGGGGGAUGGAAUUCCGCGUGUAGCAGUGAAAUGCGUAGAUAUGCGGAGGAACACCGAUGGCGAAGGCAAUCCCCUGGACCUGUACUGACGCACAUGCACGAAAGCGUGGGGAGCAAACAGG
rnacentral:rRNA from 1 species